rnacentral:rRNA from 1 species
AACAGCUAGCUUAACUAUUAUAUUAACAAAAAAAUAUUAAUAACAAACAAUAACCUUAAAUCAACAAAUUAAACCAUUCUACACAUCUUAGUAUGGGCGACAGAACAGAUUCAACAAAGCAAUAGAGAAAGUACCGCAAGGGAAAGCUGAAAGAGAAAUGAAACAAACCAUAUAAGCACUA